rnacentral:misc_RNA from 1 species
GAAGAAGAAGAAGAAGAAAGAGAUGAGAUAGUUAAUGGCAAAAAAUAAUCCCUCAAGCCCAGAGGAGAAGACAAGAGAGAGAAAAGGUCGACAAUUCAGAUCCGUUUCACAAGGCUGCUUCGGAGAAUAUAUAUAUAAAAUAUAAAUUUUAUGUGGUGAGUUCAUAACAAUUUCGAUUGCCUGAUUAAACCAUUUUGUUGUUGCGUUCGUUAUCCGCUAUAAAAUUUUCCCAGGAACCAUGAAAGUUCCGGUCGUAGCCCCUUCUCCAUAUAAGGCCUUUUCUUCUCUCCGCGAUCCUUUCUUCUUUACACUCGCUUCUUCAUCAAUUUACUCCUUUUCUAAGCAUCUCCAUUGUAAUCCCAUGGCUGCUUGUGUUGACACUCCUAGAGUGAAGCCCUCUCAAAUUUCUCGCGAUCCAAGCAGGUCUGAAGGUGAUGAUCAUGCUUACAAUUAUGUGACAUAUUGUCGACCCAGUUUCUCCGAUCAUGUUUCUGGCUUACCCUUUAGCAAGAAUCAUAUGAAAACCAUACACACGGAUUCAGUUGCGGAAGAUCUGCCUCACGAAAACCAAAAUAAAGAAGAUCCAUGGCUCAAAAUGCAGGAUGAAGCCAGGUUAGAUGCUGAUCAAGAACCAGUUCUAUCCAGCUACUACUAUACCUCCAUUCUGUCUCAGAAGACUCUAGAAAGGGCGUUGGCGAAUCAUCUUGCAAUUAAGUUAAGCAAUUCCAGCCUUCCUAGUAGUACUCUGUUUGAUAUUUUUUUGGGGGUUCUUGAAGAGAGUCAAGACAUCAUUACUGCGGUGAAGAAAGAUUUGAGAGCUGUGAAGGAAAGAGACCCUGCCUGCAUAAGCUACAUGCACUGUUUCUUGAAUUUCAAAGGGUUUCUGGCAUGCCAAGCCCAUAGAAUAGCGCACAAAUUAUGGGCACAGGGUAGAAAUGUUUUAGCUAUAUUGAUCCAAAACAGAGUAUCUGAGGCGUUUGCGGUUGAUAUUCAUCCAGGAGCAAGGAUCGGACAGGGAAUAUUAUUUGAUCAUGCCACAGGAUUAGUUGUUGGAGAGACUGCUGUGAUUGGGAACAAUGUGUCAAUCCUGCAUAAUGUGACUUUAGGUGGUACUGGGAAGGCUUGUGGAGACAGGCAUCCAAAGAUUGGUGAUGGGGUUUUGAUUGGGGCUGGGACUUGUAUUUUGGGUAACAUUAGGAUUGGUGAAGGGGCCAAGAUUGGGGCUUGUUCAGUGGUGUUGAAGGACGUGCCACCCAGGACUACUGCUGUUGGCAACCCGGCUAAAUUGGUUGGAGGAAAGGAGAACCCGAUUAAGCUUGACAAAAUUCCAAGCUUUACCAUGGACCACACUUCACACAUAGCUGAGUGGUCUGAUUAUGUUGUAUAAAGGUCUUUUUCUUAGUUGAGUAAGCUGUGUUCUGAUCCUGCCUAGUGAUCUGAUUGUGUUGUAUAACGGUCUUUUUCUUAGUUGAGUAAGCUGUGUUCUGAUCCUGCCUAGUGAUCUGAUUGUGUUGUAUAACGGUCUUUUUCUUAGUUGAGUAAGCUGUGUUCUGAUCCUACCCAGUGAUAUCUUAUGUAUGGCCUUGAGCAAAUAUUACCAGACCAAAUGUGCUGUAAGUAUGAACCAAAUCAAAUUAUGUUGUUAAUUUUCUUCCCAUUCUGUUGGAUUUGGUUUACUCUUUGCCAUUUUAUAUGGUCAUGAAGUAUUGUAUAAUGU